AAAAAAAAAAAAAAAAAAAAAAAAAGAGAGGAAAGAAAGAAAAAGAAAAAGAAACCGUUUUUCCUCCUGAAAAAAGGAAAAUCAUGAAUCCAAAGUUUGGAAUUGGAUUGGUAUUCGCUCUCUCCUAUCUCUGGUUUUAUGCAUUAAUUUUACUAUUGGAUUUGGAUACAUUAGGUUCAAUUUUGUGCAAAAUCUUCAGGGAAUAGGGUGCGCUGAAAAAUAGAUGUUCACAUUUCAACAAAUUUCACAAUCUACAGACCAAGAAAAAUGGGUAUGAUGUACGUUCUUUGGCUUCAUUUGGUGGUUUAACUCAUUUACUGUGGAACAAAAAAAUGGGUGUGAUGUUUAUCAGUGAAGGGUUUUUUUCGAUCAAUGAAGGAACACAAGUCUUAUCAUUUUUCUCUUUAUGCUAACGGAGGAUAUUUAUCUGUUUGUUAGUGAUAAUUGAGAUGAAAUUAUGGUUUUUGUUGCCGAAAAAGGACGAAUGAUGUGCAGCAUGCUCUAGAUGAGACUGACCCUUUCCCGAUUCAGUUCACUCGGAAAAGGAAGGGCCCGCUGUCUAGACUGCAUUUCUGGAGUUUGAUCACCAUCCCAUUUCAACCAGAAAUACAACCCUGUUAAAGGUACUAACCUUCCUUCCUUAUGAGGGGAAAUCCAAUUCCAUUUUGUCCCUAUUGCAGUUUCUUCCCAUGAUGCCAGCGGAGGCUAAACCAAUGAGGGUGGAUAUAUUUGUCAGUUAGCACGAUGGAUCACAAUUCACAGGUGGGAAGAUGAUGGACGUCUUCUUCCUCAAAAAACAAUAUAUGUUACUCAUAGUAAAGAUAUGUGACCAAAUAUGUUUGAUGAUACUGUCAUUCGUCGGUUACCAAGAACGGGUUUUGAUUUACAAGAACAAGUUUCACUAACAAAAGAAACCCAUGGAGCGUUGGUCAACUCAUUCGUUGGGCCAUGUUGGCAAUGAAGACAAUCAAAGCCAAAUUUAUAUCAGUAGGUGGAUUAGUUAAGAGUGUAGGGAAAAGAGGAUUAUGUAAAAUUGGACUACCACAGUACCACAUAUUCGAGUACUCUAUAGGUUUUUCCUGAACUACAACAUAAAAGUUAUUACAUAUUGAUUGCAUAUCGUACUAUACAUUAUGUUUUGUAUUAAAGUUGUACAGUUCACAUUACUUAAUGCCGUUUGUUAGUAAAUCCUGCUUAGAAGAAGUCCCUUCAUUAGAACUAACUUGCA